GCUGGCAUAGCUCAGUUGGUAGAGCAACGCACUCGUAACGCGUAGGUCGGGGGUUAAACUCCCCCUGCCAGCG
rnacentral:tRNA from 1 species